ACACGUACAAUGAUAGCAUGUUGAACAAGGAAAGAGAGAGAAGAGCAGACGUCAACGCAACAGUGUGAAUCACAAGUGAUAAAUAAGGCAGCAAAUACAUCGUGUUGAAGUAUCGUGGACUUUUCAGGCGUUCGAGUUCGAGCUAAGGAGCUUUUGACAUACACUGAUCUAGUCUCCGGGGGUCAAAACAGGACUGGGCCAAGUGCGAUAGCAACCCAAGUUAUUGUAGUCAGUAAGCUGAAGUGACAACGUUUUGCAGAGACUAGGAGUAAGACAGAAGACAAACCAUGGAAAAUUUAAGAGUAGCUUGAACAAAUAGGGAGA